rnacentral:rRNA from 1 species
CAAGAUCAGUAGCGAGAAUGUUGACAUGAGUAGCGACAAAGAGGGUGAGAGACCCUCUCGCCGAAAGUCCAAGGGUUCCUGCUUAAAGCUAAUCUGAGCAGGGUGAGCCGGCCCCUAAGGCGAGGCCGAAAGGCGUAGUCGAUGGGAACUAGGUUAAUAUUCCUAGGCCAGUGGGAAGUGACGGAUCUCGAAGGUUGUCUGCCCUUAUCGGAUUGGGUGGGCCGCUUAGAGGUUCCUGGAAAUAGCCCCACAUCAGACCGUACCCUAAACCGACACAGGUGGACUGGUAGAGUAUACCAAGGCGCUUGAGAGAACCACGUUAAAGGAACUCGGCAAAAUGCCUCCGUAAGUUCGCGAGAAGGAGGCCCCAUCAGUAGGCAACUGUUGGUGGGGGGCACAAACUAGGGGGUGGCGACUGUUUACUUAAAACACAGGGCUGUGCGAAGCCGUAAGGCGACGUAUACAGUCUGACGCCUGCCCGGUGCUGGAAGAUUAAGAGGAGGGGUGCAAGCUCUGAAUUGAAGUCCCAGUAAACGGCGGCCGUAACGAUAACGGUCCUAAGGUAGCGAAAUUCCUUGUCGGGUAAGUUCCGACCUGCACGAAUGGCGUAACGAUCUCCCCGCUGUCUCUAACGUGGACUCAGCGAAAUUGAACUGUGUGUCAAGAUGCACACUUCCCGCGGUUAGACGGAAAGACCCCAUGCACCUUUACUCUAGCUUUGCACUGGCAUCAGGAUUGUGAUGUGCAGGAUAGGUGGUAGGCAUUGAAGCGGGGACGCCAGUCUUCGUGGAGCCUCCCUUGAGAUACCACCCUUCGCACUCUUGAUGUCUAACCGCGGCCCGUUAUCCGGGUCCGGGACCCUGCAUGGUGGGGAGUUUGACUGGGGCGGUCGCCUCCUAAACAGUAACGGAGGCGCGCGAUGGUUGGCUCAGACCGGUCGGAAAUCGGUCGUUGAGUGCAAUGGCAGAAGCCAGCCUGACUGCAAGUCUGACAAGGCGAGCAGAGACGAAAGUCGGUCAUAGUGAUCCGGUGGUCCCAAGUGGGAGGGCCAUCGCUCAACGGAUAAAAGGUACGCUGGGGAUAACAGGCUGAUGAUGCCCAAGAGUCCAUAUCGACGGCAUCGUUUGGCACCUCGAUGUCGGCUCAUCUCAUCCUGGGGCUGGAGCAGGUCCCAAGGGUAUGGCUGUUCGCCAUUUAAAGAGGUACGUGAGCUGGGUUCAGAACGUCGUGAGACAGUUCGGUCCCUAUCUGCCGUGGGUGUAGGAGACUUGAGAAGAGUUGCCCCUAGUACGAGAGGACCGGGGUGAACGAACCACUGGUGGACCAGUUAUCGUGCCAACGGUAGUGCUGGGUAGCUAUGUUCGGACAGGAUAAACGCUGAAGGCAUCUAAGCGUGAAGCCCCCUUCAAAACAAGGUCUCCCUUGAGAGCCGUGGAAGACCACCACGUCGAUAGGCCGGAGGUGUAAGUGCAGCAAUGCAUUCAGCUGACCGGUACUAAUUGCUCAAA